rnacentral:rRNA from 1 species
AACGAACGCUGGCGGCAUGCCUAACACAUGCAAGUCGAACGAGCUCUUCGGGUCUAGUGGCGCACGGGUGCGUAACGCGUGGGAAUCUGCCCUUUGGUUCGGAAUAACAGUUGGAAACGACUGCUAAUACCGGAUGAUGACGAAAGUCCAAAGAUUUAUCGCCAGAGGAUGAGCCCGCGUAGGAUUAGCUAUUUGGUGUGGUAAAGGCGCACUAAGGCGACGAUCCUCAGCUGGUCUGAGAGGAGGAUCAGCCACACUGGGACUGAGACGCGGCCCAAAACCAUACGGGGUGCAGCAGGGGGGAGUGUUGGACAGUGGGCGAAAGCCUGAUCCGGCAAUGCCGAGUGAGUGAUGAUGGCAUUAGGGUUGUAAAGCUCUUUUACCCGGGAUGAUAAUGACAGUACCGGGAGAAUAAGCUCCGACUAACUCCGUGCCAGCCGCCGCGGUAA